rnacentral:tRNA from 1 species
GCCAAUGUGGCUCAAUGGUAGAGCAUCGCUUUCCUACCUUCAUUGAAGGUUAAGAGGCGAAGGUUGCGGGUUCGAUCCCCGUCAUUGGUU